rnacentral:rRNA from 1 species
AAUCAACGCUGGCGGCGUGCCUCAGACAUGCAAGUCGAACGCGAAAGUUUCCUUCGGGAGACAAGUAGAGUGGCGCACGGGUGAGUAACACGUAGGUAAUCUACCUUCGGAUGGGGAUAACAAUCGAAACGGUUGCUAAUAACCGCAUAAUGCAGCGGCACCUAAACUGGUGACAGUUGUUAAAGCGGGGGAUCGAAAGACCUCGCGUCUGAAGAGGAGCCUGCGGCGGAUUAGCUAGUUGGUAAGGUAAUGGCUUACCAAGGCGACGAUCCGU